UAAAGUACAUUCUAAAUCCAGUCAGCAAAUAGUAACUCAUGCCACUCUGCGUCAGGCAUCAUGAUGGGUUCCUUGGAUUUAUUUCUUUUGGAUUUAUUCCUUUUCAAUUUAUUCUGAUUUGAAAGAGCUAGAAGAAAAGAUCAGACAUUCUUUUAUUCACCAAAUACUUACCAAGUUCAUACACUGUGAUGAGUGGACACAGAGCAGAAACAGGAUAGAAAUGAAGGCUGCCUCCAAGGAACCUACAAUUAAGUGAUACUGAUAUUCAGUAAGUGACUCUGGUUGGAUCCACAUAUCCCCCAAUUCUAGCCAUAUGAAGUUCUAUUUCUGUAAGACCAAAUUAAAGCGCAUUCUGGCUGACUCCAGGAGAUGCAGUCCCUGCCGAAUCCUCAGGAUUCCUGGAAGCUCUUGAUGUCCAGCUGUCACUUGGUGGGUUUCUCUCUGGCCCACCGCUCUGCACUGUCACAGGUCCUGCAGCUUCUCUCUGGUCCAUUUUUCCAGGUAUUGUCCUCUCUCCAGGGUGUCACCCCCAGCUUGCCUGUCUCUUCUUUCUGCAAGUCUCUGGAGACUCACUGAAGUGCACCAGCUAUUUAUUUAUUUAUAUACAUUAUUUAUUUAUUGUCUACUUUAAAAAAUAUUUUACUUUCAGUUGACAAAUAACAAUUGUAUACAUCAUGUAUUUAUGAGGUACAAUAUGAUAUUUCAGUACAUGCUUAAUUGGUGGAAUGGUUAAAUCAAGCUGAGUAACAAAUCUACCACCUCUUUGUCAGAUUCUUUACUGAAAAUUCCACUCAGGCAAGUGUGAAUGGGGAGGGAGGAAGUGGGAAAAAAAAAGACUGAGUGGACUUUAAAACCAGAGAUAACUGUUCCUCAUGUUUAUUGACUUUUCCCUUUCAUGGAUGUCCACAAAUGGAAAAUAUCUUACCUCUGCUAAUAUGGAGAGGGAGGGAGGGGAAAUUAACUUGGAGAAGUGAAGAGAAGGUUUUUGUGCCAUGGGAUUUUGGUCUUUGUUUGAAGUAUAUUAUAGGAACACAACAAGCCAUUUUGUGGAAGAUUUGUGAGGGAAUGUUUGUGUGUAUACAUGUGUAAUAAUCAGAUUUUCUUUAAAAUUAACUAUGUUGAGAAUGGCUUAGUUGACAACACCAGGAGCAUAUGCUAGGUUCUGAAUGAGUUGGAGAGUGGUAUGUACUGAUGUUUUCCCAACCAAAAGUAGAUAUGUCAAAUACCAGAAAUUCCUUGCUAAGGCCCCAAGAUAAAGGAAUACUAUAGUCCAAUUACCAAUAAUGCUCCCAAAGUGGGAGGUGGUAGAGGCAAGAUUGAGGUAAUUCUUCCAACAGGCAUGUGUGAUUAUACUCACGGUUGUAAAUAUACCUGGUAGAAUAUUUUCAUGGGAGAAAAGUUCUAGGCAGUACACAGAAAGCUAAUGAAGCUCAAGCUUCAAAGCCCUUCACUUGCACAAAACUUUCCUAGGUCCUGGACUAAGUGUAUAUUCAUUUUAUUAAAGAGAGUUACAUAUUCUUCAGGUCUCACAAAAUUUGGAGCCGUCUCUAUCUUGCAUGGAUGAAAGUGGGAUUUGAAUUAACCUUUGCAAGAAAAAUUUAGUCUGUGCAUAUGCCAAAAGGGAUAGGAUCUGGUUGUGAAUGAGGAUAACUUUGGGGAUAGUGUGUGGGUGCAUUGCAGGGAGGUGGGUUGAGCGACUGGUGAGCACCAGGAUUAUUGAAGUAAGGAUUAUCUAAGAUGCUUGCAUUGUUUAGUUAUUUAGUUUCUUUGGGAUAUAAGAAAAAGACCAGCACUUAAGUUAGCUGGAGUAGGAUUUUAAUGUAAUGGAACAUUAUAGCUUUGGGUAUGUAAGCUGGAGUUAGAGGGCCAAACAGAAAUCCAUGAAUCAAUAACUGAAAUAAACUAAUUUUCAUGUCUACUCUCCACAAUUAUUAUACUUAUUUUCUCCCUGUUCAGUUGUGUUUCCAUUACCAAUUGCCUAUUCUUUCUCUCUACUGUUAAUAUAAUUUUCUAACUUCAUAAUCGGUUCCAUCAUGGCUGAUGCUAUCUUCCUCAUUUUUCUGACAUUUCCAAAUUCAGAUCUCAAGAGAGGAAAUCUCUGCCUUGUCAGCUCAUUAUUCCUUGACUGGCAAGGUCAUGAGUCAGUGGCUAACCUCUAUCUUGUGUUUCCAUACCUUGUCCAGUCACGUAAGAAUUCCUUAUAUAGAAUCUUUGUAGAAAAUCUGGAAACCUGUGACUCUCCCUUCAGCAAAGGUUGCAGACUGGGGAAUUUUCCUUUGCAAUACCUGUAGGAGGCUAGCAGCAUACUAAAUAUUAUAUCCAAUGUAGUGGAUAUGAUAUUUAGUAUGCUAGUGUAGUCCCUCAGUGCAUCUAUAGACAAAGCAGAUGAAAAUCUCUGCCAUUGUAGGGCUUAGGGAUGAGCAUUAUUAUUUUUUUCUUUGUCCAAGUGGCCAUGUUUAUUUAUACCAAUAGGUUACAUUAAGUCAUUAGUACCAUAACUACUUUGUUGUUCAGAAUAUCAGUAAAGUUCCUUAUGCUGCAGUUACAUUUUACAGUUACAAUAUGAAAUGUUAGGAGCUUUGUUCAGUUCUUAAGACAGUAUUUAUAGCAAAUACUUUCUGAGCACUCACUUUGUGACAUGGUGUCAGAUUCUGUUCUCACCACUUCAUAUACAUUAGCACUCUUAGAUUCUACCAACAAUCUUAAGGGGAAUUUGCUACCAUUAUCCCUAUUUUACUGAGGAGGAAACUAAAGCCCAGCACAAGUAGCUUGCUGAAUGUCUCACAGCUAAUCACUAGAGGAGCCAGGAUUCUAUGUAGACGUAUGUUCUAAAGUCUAUUGUCUUCCAUACCAUGUGGCCAAACACAGGAUUUUAUGAAGGAUGGGUAACACCAGAGGCUAGAUGUGAAAAGUCACUUUCUAAUAGAAUUUGUGUCCAGUCAGAAGGUAAAAAAUAAAGGAGAUAAAUUGGAAAUUGGUGAUAAAUUGGAAAAUGGAUAUUAAAACUAAUAUCCAAAUGAAACAUUACAUGUACCCUUCUGAUAAAGAUUAACUAGUUGAAGAGGAAAUGAGAACAUUUUUAGCAGUAGAAACAUGAUCAACUAUCUGGAAGUAUAGUAUCUAAAGAUUUUGUCAGAUGCUGUGGAGAAACUGAUAUAUUCUUCUUUACAGAGAAGCAACAUACAGUCCAAAUUUCCCACAAAAGACUGGUUAGACUAUUAAGGGUAUUUAAAAACUCUUACCUUUCAUUUACAAAGUAUGGGUCAGAAUUUAAAACGGAAAAUUUUAUACCUCUUCCUUUGUAGCAUAAAAUCAGAUUAUAUCUGGGAUGAGAUCCAUCUUCAGUGUUGACAUUUAGGUUUAUUGGAGUCUUGUGAGGAGCCCAGAAUGAGAGCAGAUGUACCAGGCAAUGUCACAGAGAGAAGUGUAGUCAGUGUUCCUCACGAUACUGAGGCUUGAGCUUUGGAAGUCCAGGAGGCCACUCAUACAAGGGAGUUGUUUAAUCUUUGACACUUCUCCAUGAAUUAGGAUUUUGACAACCAACCACCAUUUGUAAUCCUCAAAAAUUGUAAUCCUCAAAGUCUUGGUUUGGGUAGUAGUUUUGUUUCUCCAGUUGCUAUACCACCCUACCCAAUCUUAGUCCAAAAGUGAAACGUCUGUUGUUGCCAUCUGUGUUUGCCCACUCGUCUUGACUCUUCCUCAUUCAAAACUCUCUCUUUCUUCAGCCUUCCAUCUCCUUCUCCCAAUUAUUAUUUUUUAUAUCCUAUACCCUCUUAUGAAACCUCCAACCUGCUAAAUUUCUUUCCCUUUUCUCUGAAUUUUUAAAACAUCUUCAAUCUGUAUUAUUAUGAGGAAACUAAUAUAACUGUACUUAAGGUCUAUUCUGUUGAGAAUAAAUAUAUCUUAAUGUUUUGGAAGGGAAAAGAGACAGAAUCCCCUUUAAGGGAUUAAGAUUCAAACAGAAGUCCUGGAUGUCACAGAGCUUACUAACUAUAAAGUCCUUUUGGAGGUGAGGUGAAGCUUUGAGCCCCACAGUAAAUGGAGUCAGUUGAGGAGAAGGCUGUCAAAUGAGAGAAAUUUUUGUAGUUGGAGCUUCUCUGAGUCUGCUCAGAGCCAUGAGGAGGAUCAUGAGAAUUAGAGGCUCUGCCCUCCACUCUGUCUCCCUAGGAAGUGUGAAUUCUGAGAAGAGUGAUAAGAAAGGAAGGAAACUUUGGAGAAUAACGAGGGGAAACAGUUUCUUCUUGUUAGUGUGAUAUAGUAGGACCGGAGUAGAAACGAAACCUCACUCCAGAGAGACCAGAAGUCAAUACUGGCAGUAGAUAACAUAACAGCUGUACCCAUUUCCUUAGAAUGUUGAUGUGGUUACACAUCUAUCUUUGUCCCCUCUACUGGAUAAUUAGUUAACUCAUAUUGUAAAGAAAGCAAUAUUUUUACACAACUUUGCUGCAAACUAGCUCUGUGACUGUAAAACAGACUUGGCUUUAUAGUCUCAUCUGUAAAUGAGAGAGCUGGAUGGCAUCAUCUCCAAGGCUCCUUUUAGCUUUAAAGUGUGCAGUUUUGUUUACUCCCACAGGGAUUCCCACCCUCUUGGUGGUAGCUGGCCCAGUGCCUAAGAAGGGCUUAUCAGCUCUCAGGAUAUGCCCUGCAAAUUCCAACAAAUUAGAUGAAGACAAUCUUCACCACACUGUUCUUUAGAGUGUGAUUAUAUGCCAUUUUCUAUCAUUUCUUAUUAUUUCAAUUGUUUCCCUACUAGAGUAGACAUUUUUCAAAGCACAAAUCCUGAAUUACAUUAUACAUAUUGUUACUGAGAUUGGGAAAACUCACUUGUUAUUAGAAACCUGGAUUUGCAUUUCAACAUUCUCCAAUUGUCAGAAUUGUUCCUCCUUGAAUAGAUCAACAUUUAUCCCUAUUACUUUACAUGUUUUACUUUUUAACUGACCAGUUAAUUUCUGUUUUUAUCUCAUCAAAAUAUAAAAAUUAGUUCAUCCCUCAUUAGAAUGAUUUAUUCAUUCCAGAUUAAUGGGGUCUCAUUAUAGUAAUGUAAAAAAAAUAGGACAAGUCUGCAAAUAAGAGGGCUUAAUUUAUUGUACAAAUCUAUCCUGCCUGAGUACAAUACCAGGGAUGAUGGCAAAUACCAAGUGACUUGUUUGUGCCUCUGUUGCCUUGCAUGUCAAAUACAGACGAUAAUUAUUAAAUGAGUUAAUAUUGGUGAAGUGUUUAAAGCUUCCUGACAAGGGGAAAGUACUUUAUAAUUCUGGUUGAUAGUUUAGGAUGGAGUUGAGAGGAGAAAACAGGAGCAUCGGAUACAUUGCUUAGAGAAACUGGUGGUAAAGGGAAGUGAGAAAGUGGGCUGCACUGACGGGAAGGGGGAGAGGCAAGCAGUCAAGCACAGGUGUCUGUGUGUAUUUUGUUUUCCAAGAUAAGAGAAGCCUUUCCAUGUUUGAAAGUGGAUGGAAAGGAGCCAGGGGACAGGAAGUCAGAAGAGGAAGGGGAUAGCUACCGGAGCAGGAUGAUCUGUAACAAGAACAUAGGUAAUUAGAAGCGAUAAGAGGGAAUUCUAGAGUAGUUUUCUCUGUGUUCUUCAAAACAUCAAGCUCAUCUUUACAACAUGCCAUGCAUGGACAUUCACCAGCACAGACUGCCAUAGUCCCAGUCGCCUACAAUCAGGCAGUGAAUGGGAAUAAAUUAGUGAGCUGAAGCGAGUGGGCAGAGGGAACUCUCUAGUGACAUGCUAUAAAGGAGCUACAGCCUGUGGUACAGAUAGAUCAUUCUGGAAAGAAUCUUGCAGACAGACUAGCACAGUGCUGAGCACACAGAGACAGUGUCUCUGUAAACCCAGGCACCAGGCCUCCUCAGCCAAACCACCAAUAGCCACAGGGUACACAAUCCAUCCACAGAAGAAGACCAAAAACUGGACUGUGUCCAGGUGUCUGUGAAUAACCACUCACAUCAAUCCUUUUACCAUAAAUGCAACAGGAAAAUAACUUGGUCUAAGAAACUUUCUUCACACACACACACACACACACACUUUCAGUGUCUUACUGAAUUCUUUAAAAAUGUUCUGUAAUGUGCCUUAAAAAAUAACACUGUUUUAACUGAAAUCCUUAGGCUUUAAUAUCCAGAGAGAGAACCAGCUUUGCUAUCAACUUGAAUACCAUAUACAUUUGGCAAUUUGUAAGAAUUCAGCAAACUACAAGCUUACGUGAAACAUGAGCAAAAGGACUUAUUUCAGGCAGGAAGACCUCGAACAGCAUAAGGACCAAUCCUCGUGUUGACAAGAGCUAAGGUGUCUGAGAAAGACCCAUCAGUAGAUGGGUCUACAUUUCCAGAAAAGGCCCAUACUUUGCUGGGGAUGAAAGUCAGUGUGUUAAAUGGAGUUGAGCAUUAAUUGGAAUUAAAAGCAAAAGAGUUCAGUAUCACUUAACAUAUGGAAGUUUUCAAAUAAAUGUUUCUACUUUUCUCCCUUCCACACAAAGAUUCACUUUUUAAAUAUUGCUUCUCCACAUAGAUUAAAAGCUUUGUCUCUAGUGAAGGAACUUACAGCAAUCCCUAGUGUGAGAGAGAAGAUUAUUUUCAGCAGGUCAUACUUUCCAGAGUUCCCCAGUCCAUGUACAUUGUCCGCUGCCUCCAGUACCAGUUUAGCAUAACUGCCAAACACUGCGUCCCACACAACUGGAUUCCCUCCUGUACCCCUUAGGCUCCAUAGGCAGCUUUAUGCCUAACCUAGUCUCUGCUUGUUUCACUGCUAGCUACUUACUCAGUGACCUUCAGAGGCUGACCACUGGGCACAGCAGCUUUUAUUUCCCCCUCUAAAUCAGCAGUGACUGAUAGAUGUGGGAGCAGAAAACCACUGACCCCUUAUCAAGAGAUGGGACAAACUUUGCAGUAUCUUUCAUGCUCUGGAGUUCCCCUGAGGAUCAAUUUGAGACUAGAGUCACCUGAAAUUUCAAAGCUUCUUGGCUUCUUCUUUUUUUUUUUCCUUUCUUCUUCAUCUUACUUUUUUGCUCCCUUAUUGGUUUCUCCUGAGGGCAAAUCCUUAAUAAUUAACUUACAUAGAAGUCCCUGACGCAGGGUCUGCUUCUAGGAGCACUCAACACAAAACAGCCCUUCCUAAUGACUCAUUCAUUCAUUCAGAAAUGUUCCCUGUCUAGAUUUUCCUCAAUGCAGUGAAGAAGAAUAACACAUAGGUAGAUGAAAUAUAACCAUAAAUGUUCUCAAGGAAUUAUGUGGACCUAAGUGACUACAUAUUUUACAGUAAAGGGAAACAAAGUUAUGAGCAUGCCAUCUCCCCUGUCAAAGUGGCUUAUAGCUAGUAGAUCCUCAUGAGUGCUAAAACAUUUGGUCAGUCCUUGACCACAUGCUGUUAGCCCUUGAGGAAGAGUCAAUCGUAUGCCUACAGUUUUAUUUUAUUCAAUACUUACUGGACUUCAUGAACCAGAGUAUGAGAAACAAAUGUAUAGGCUAAUAAGUACAAUAUGAUAUGUACAUCUUGAAUAAUCUUCAAAAUGCUGUGAAUUAUGAAAGAAGGAAUAGUACCUUUUUAAGAAAAUUGAAGGCUAUGCCUUAUAAGAUAAAUAGAAUUAAUUCUGGAGAGAGGUAGAGAGAAGCAUUUUAGAAAGAGGGAAUAGUACACUCCAUCGCAGUUAGGGGUGAAAGAUCACUGGCUGUUCUUUGGGCGAGAGAACAAUGGUUUAGGGAUUGAAGCACAGUUUGCAUGCAAAUUAGAGGCAGAAGAUCAAUCUGGAUAAUCUGGAGGUGGAGGCUAGAGCCACUAGGUGGUGGACCUGAGGUAAUUCAGGGCUUUGUCCUACAGCAAUGUAUUUGAAUUUGACUGAUGUUUGUCUUAGAGACGAUAGGAAGACAUGUUAAAGACAUGUUAAAGAGAAGAAAAACUGGGGUUGGAAAGAGUAACUAGAAGUGUAUCAUUAGGUUAAAUCAGAUAUAAAACUCUCAAUAUAGAAACAUUUUUUAAAAAUAAGACUUUAUUUUUUAGAGCAGUUCACAGCAGAAUUGAACAGAAGGUACAGACAUUUCCCAUAUACACCCUGCCCUCACACACACAUAGCCUUCCCCAUUAAGGACAUCACCCCCCAGAGUGGUGCAUUCUUUAAAAUCAAUAAACCUGCAUUGACACAGCAUCACACACAGCUCCUAGUUCACACUAGGUACACUUUUGGUGCUGUGUAAUGCUAUGGGCUUGGACAAAUGUCUAAUGACACAUAUUCACCCUUAGAGUAUUCCACAUAAUUGUUUCACCAUGUAGAGCAUAGGUCUUUUAGGGGCAGUUAUUUGACCUAUCAAAAAUGAUAAUUUCAUAUGGCUCAAACUGAUAGUCUAGCCAGGAAUGAGGGCGAGAAUCUAAAGAGCAGCACCAACACCAGAAAAGAGGAGUGAAAUAAAGAAGCUCUAUAAGAAAGAAAAUCGACAGCCUGAAAUGAGUGAUCCAUGGGUGGCAGAGGCAAAGAAAGCUGAGGAAGGCACAGGUGACAGCAAAGCAAAGGUCUCUACUGGGAAUGACUGAGUGAAUAGCCAAGAGAGCCCUGAGGGGAAGUGAGAACCCACAGGAGGAGCACCUCCCACAGCACCAUAGGGACCAUGCCUGCUUCAGAACCCCGUGGUGCUUCACCAAUUACCUGGCAACCCUCAUCCUUUAUGCUUUCUCUGCUAUUUGACACAAGACAGGCCAUGAUAUCCAAAUUCCUAAGGUUGUAGCUAGUACUGAAGUCUGGCUAACAAGUAAUGUGAGUUCAAGAGUUUACUUAGUUAACACAGGUCUCUAAACGAGAACCCAGGAGCAAGACAGCUGGAGAAAACUGGUGGUCCUUGAAGGCAGGAACCUGUCCUAACAGGUUGUGUUUUAGCAUUUUUUUUUCCCCAUCAGAGUGCAAAAGGGGCUUUGAUGUUCUUACGGAAUAACUAGGAAAACCUGAUAUUUUUCUUCCCCCAAGUCUGACUAUUCUUCCAGAGUCAUAAUAGUUCAGUGAAAAUUGCUGAACUUUUUCUAUUGGACAAAAUGUGAAUUUGGGGGUGGGGCUGCAUAAAAGACAUGUCAUUUCAGGAUGUUUUAAGCACGACCUUCCUAAAGUAGAAAUGAUCCAUUUGUUGGACACAGUCAAGAACUGGAAAACUACAUGUCCAAGUGGAGAACUUAUGCAAUGUUAUGCCAGCUAGAGUAAGUAUGCAAAGGCGAGCUUUAUCAUGUGUUUGAAAGAAAAAAUCCUCUAGCAAAAAAAAAAAAAAAGACUGACCUAGAAAACAUUGGGUUUCAUUUCUUUCUGGUUUUGCUCGUAACAGUUUCUUGUAAGAAUUUCAUCUCAUUCUGCUUUUUCUUGUAAGAGUAUUACUGGAAAAUGUUUAAAAAUAGUUUUCAACUAUGACAAAAUAUUUUCUUAGAAUUUUUCCAUUACAUUCAAGGAAUUUAGACUAUAACUAGGAGAAUGCCACUGAGGGAUGGGCUUCAGGACCCUUUUUGCAGCAUUAUUCAUUCAUGCCACAAAUAUUUACUGACUCUGACCUAUGUGCUAGGUGGGUGGUAGCUGUUGGAGAUACAAUGGUGCACAAAAUCAGACAGAUUUCCUGCCUUCAUGAAGCGUAUAGCCUAGAUAUACUGACAAAUAUUAAACAGUCAAUCACGAAAUAGCUAUUAGUUUCAAACUACACAGAGUUCCUAAAAGGGAACAUAGUGAUGGUUACAUGGGGGGGCGGGCAGACCUAGUCAACAGGAUGUCCUCUGAGGAGGUGAUUUUUCAAGUUGAGACCUGUGAGAUGAGUAGGAGUCAGUCAGAUGAUGAAGGAGUGGAAGAUCAUUCCAGGCAGGAGAAAUUGCUAGUGCAAAGGAGUAUAGACCUGUGCAUAAUGUUCAAAGAUGGCUAGUGUGGCUUAAGUGCCCAAGAACAAAAGGGCAAAAAGUUUUGAAACAAGGAUACAGUUUCAGCCAGAGUCCAGAUCAAACAGGGCCUGUGAGUUAAGGUUCUGGUCUUUACCCUAAGAGCAGUAGGAACUCAUGAAAAAUAAUAAGCUGGAGAGUGCUAGAAUUAGAUUUGCCUACAUCAAAUCAUUUCAAGUCAAAGACUUUUUAGUCGGCAUUCAAUGAACACUGAGAUAGCUGCUCUUGAGAUUUAGAUUUAGAAGUUGAUGUCAUAGCAUAGGAAGAAUGAAAAGCGUCAAUGAAAGCACAGAGUUGAGAAUGAGAUGGUCUUGGGGAGACAACAGUGAAGACAUCUUUAUUUACUAGAUCAUAACCAAUGUGAGUUGAUAUGUGGGUUUUGGUUUUCUUUAGAAUGUUCAAGGAAGUAUCAUCUGACAAAAGGAGUCAUGAUCAAUAAUUCUGUCCCUGAAACCUUCUGUCUGUUCACAGAUCAGGUAUCACACAAACAACUACGCAUCCAGCUCCACCUCCUUACCCCACCAGUGCUCCUCAACCUUGAUGUGGAGUGACCACUUGGAAAGGUGAGAGUUAGAAGCUGCCUAGGUUUACACUGUAGCCGUCUGUCAUCUUUCUGCUCUGCUUUGAGUUCAUGCUUUGAAGGCAGAGUAUCUCUAAGAAUCAAAGUGCAAAUGAAAGCAUACACAUGUGAUUAAAGAGUACCAGAUUCCUAAGAAGAGCUAUUGUUGCUUUUAUCUCUACUUAAAUUUCCUCCAAGACCUUUAUGUGAUGGGCUCCAGUCUGGUCUUGUGACAAACCAAUUCUUCCAUGAAAAAGCCUGCAUGUCACUAAUUUUCCACUCCACUCUCCGGGAGUAUUUUAAGGUUAAGCUACUGUUUUAAUUAGACAUCAGAAUCCAGCGUGUUCACCAUAUGGCUAGCACGCUCUCGGUCGCCCUUCUGAUUAGAUUUAUUUUGUAUGAAAUGUGUGUGUCAGUGGAUGAACACUCGAGAAAGCAGAACACAAUGCCAACUGGGAUGCACGAUUGGCUAUAUUAAAAUUUGAUUAUUAGUUUUCUCCCUUGAACACCUUUUUUUUUCUAUAUUUCUGUUAGAGACUACAGGAGCCAUAGGAUUAACUGAAAAAGCCCUUUUGGCUAUUACAGCAUUAUGUGAUCUAUUUUUUUUUAAAGAAAGAAUAUAAAUAAAAUGUUAAAUUAUUUUUUUCAAAGACCGCACACUUGACUUAUCAAAUAAUUUGACCUUUUCGUUUUAAUGGAAAGAAAAUAUGCUCACAUUAUUUCAUUUUUUGGUUAUUGGCAGGUAUGCUAACUCCUUUACAGUGGUUAUUAUGAGUGUGGACACUUUAGCAGCUUAAUUGCCUUGCCUGUUUGUCCUCCCAUGAUCAGAGCAAGAGAGAGAUAGUCGCUUCUGUUUUUCAGGGGAAGAAUUGAAUGUGUUUUUCCAUGGAGAUAGGUAGCUAGGCCUACGUGGUGAGAAUAAGCUGGCUGAUUCUGGGAAACAGGUUGAAAAUCACGAGGCCAAUACAAAUUUUGGCUCAACUGACCUUUAGAAUCCUGCACCUUUUUUUUUUUUUAAUAUCUGUGAGAUAUGAACACAUGUACCUAGCAUUGUUUUUGCUAUCAAGGCAGAUUCCCCUGGGGUGGGGAGUGAAGGGAAAAGAAGGAAGCCUGGUUCCCAUCUCGUUUUUUUUUUUUUUUGGGGGGGGGGUAGGUUCACUUUAAUGCUGCCUUUAAUUUUCCAAAGUCAACCUUAUUGUACUUUCCCUGCAUUAUGAAAAAUAAGCCAGGUUCUAUUAUGGAAACUUUGUAAAAUGAAAAUAAUUAGAAAGAAAGGAUGCUUACUAAAUGCUAUUUCCACUACUCAAGCAAAAUCUAUCUAUAUUAGUAUAUUUUUUGUGUUCUUUUUUCCCCUGUACUUUUCUUGAUUUUGUUCUAUAUGAUUAUGACAUUAUAUAUGCACUUUUGAAUCUUGUUCUUAUUUCAUUUAAUAUAAACAUUUCUUAGACUAUUGUGAAUUCUUUGUAAAGCUACUUUAAAAUUUAUUUGGGUCUAUCAAGAGUGUACUAUAGUUUCCUUAACCAUAAUCUGUGGUCACAUUUGGCACCAUCACAAUAGUACUGCAUUGGCGGAGGUCAAAUGCAGAGGUGUAAUUAGUAUUUCUGAUUUUUGUUUUUGCCAUAAGAAGACUUUAAAAAAUAAAAUGUAAUUAGAAAGAAAGGAAGCUUUACUAAGUGCUAUUUCCACUACUCAGAUACAUGUUAUCAGACUGCUUUCCAAAAGAAUUAUCAGAGGUUUAAAAUUUCAUAAGCAAUGUAUCAGAGUUUCUGCUUUGCUUCACUCUAACCAGCACUGUAUAUUAUCUUAAAAAAUAAAUAUCAAGCUGGGCACGGUGGCACAUGCCUGUAAUCCCAGCGGCUCAGGAAGUUGAGACAGGAAGAUGGCAAGUUCAAAGCCAGCCUCAACAAGGGCGAGGCACUAAGCAACUCAGUGAGACCCUGUCUCUAAAUGAAAUACAAAAUGGGGCUGGGGAUGUGGCUCAGUAGUUGAGCGCCCCUGUGUUCAAUCCCCAGUAAAAUAAAUAAAUACAUAAAUAAAUAAAUAUCACACUUUGUGGGAUUAGUAAAAGAAACAUUGUAUUUUAUAGCUAUUUCACUUUGCUCUCUUCCUUAUUUCUUUUUAGAUGAUAGUUAUAUACUUGUUGGGACUUGUUUUAUGACAAGUUUAUUUGUCAUUUGGUAUACCUAUAAUUGCUUUUGUUUAUAAAAUGCACAUAAUUAUUUCAAAUGUUUUAUCUGCAUAAAGCAUAUGUAUUUCUUACUCAUAUAUUGCUCCUUAUACCAAUACAAAAUUUAAAAAAUUAUCCCUAUUAGAGUUUAUUGCAUCUUUCUCUAUAUAUUCUAACAGAUAAUGAAAGAACAGAGCUGGACUUAUAGCGCAGUUCCUGCUUCCCCGAGUCUGUGUGUUUCUUUCCACCCAAGAAGAACAUUAUGUUUUUUGGACUAUAUCUUUAUUUUUGUCUCAUUUUUCUAUUUUAGUUUUUUUUUCUUGUCAGUAAUACACUCAGAGAGCAGUUUUAUUGUUAUAACCCAUGCCUCCGAAUGUUAAAUUCAUUUCUUGGGAGAUUCUGAGCAAGCUUGAAGAAGCUGAGUAGGAUUCCACAGAGGACGAUUUAUGGAAAAGACAAGCAAAAGAAUGACUCACAUUUCAAGAGUUUCCUCCAACUUGAAACAUUUAUUCGAAUCUUAACUAAGAUGGACAGCUGUUCAUUCUAUAAUGAUUUUGAUUUUGCAACAUGAAUUUGAAAAAUCAGUGUAUAUUUUGACAGUGAAAAGUCAACACAUGGAGAGCAAGAAUUCUAUUAAGAGGACAUGAACUUAAUGAGACAGAAAACAAGCCUAGUGAGGGCAGGAGGGUCUCUGUGGAGAUGUGGUGUCCCUCUGGGCUUAGUUCAGAAAUAAACGUUCUUCAGUUUAAAUUCUGGUUAUAGGUCAUUAGGUAAUUCAGGAUUGCUUUAUUGCUAUUUCUUUGCUUUUAAAGACAAAGGAUUGAUGCAGCUAAGGGCAUCCUUGAUGUGUUAUAAACAAUUAGGAGGCUAUCAGGUUAUUCAGUUAAAGCAAUAAAAAAUAAAUUCAUACAUAGCCUUCUAGUUAUAUCUUCAUUUUUAUCCUACUUUUGAGUCACUAUCAGUUUGAGAUUUCUUCUCAGGCAGCAUACAAAGAGGUAAAAUUA
rnacentral:lncRNA from 1 species